UGGGGAAUAUUGGACAAUGGGGGAAACCCUGAUCCAGCAAUGCCGCGUGAGUGAAGAAGGCCUUAGGGUUGUAAAGCUCUUUCGCCCGCGAAGAUAAUGACGGUAGCGGGAGAAGAAGCCCCGGCUAACUCCGUGCCAGCAGCCGCGGUAAUACGGAGGGGGCUAGCGUUGUUCGGAAUUACUGGGCGUAAAGCGUACGUAGGCGGAUGCGCAAGUUGGGGGUGAAAUCCCGGGGCUUAACCUCGGAAUUGCCCUCAAAACUGCACGUCUUGAGACCGAGAGAGGUAAGGGGAAUUCCUAGUGUAGAGGUGAAAUUCGUAGAUAUUAGGAAGAACACCGGUGGCGAAGGCGGCCCACUGGAUCGGUACUGACGCUGAGGUGCGAAAGCGUGGGGAGCAAACA
rnacentral:rRNA from 1 species